UACAGAGGUCUCAAGCGUUGUUCGGAUUCAUUGGGCGUAAAGGGUGCGUAGGCGGCGCGGUAAGUCGGGUGUGAAAUUUCGAGGCUUAACUUCGAAACUGCAUUCGAUACUGCCGUGCUUGAGGACUGGAGAGGAGACUGGAAUUUACGGUGUAGCGGUGAAAUGCGUAGAUAUCGUAAGGAAGACCAGUGGCGAAGGCGGGUCUCUGGAACGCAACUGACGCUGAGACGCGAAAGCGUGGGGAGCAAACAGG
rnacentral:rRNA from 1 species